rnacentral:rRNA from 1 species
UACGGAGGGGGCUAGCGUUGUUCGGAAUUACUGGGCGUAAAGCGCACGUAGGCGGCUUGGUAAGUUAGAGGUGAAAGCCUGGAGCUCAACUCCAGAAUUGCCUUUAAGACUGCCGAGCUAGCAGGUGAGAGAGGUGAGUGGAAUUCCGAGUGUAGAGGUGAAAUUCGUAGAUAUUCGGAAGAACACCAGUGGCGAAGGCGGCUCACUGGCUCAUACUGGACGCUGAGGCGCGACAGCGUGGGGAGCAAACAGG